UGAAAGAACAAGAGCGGUCGAUCAACUACGAAAUGUGCCAGAAGAAUGAGAUAAUAACCAUAUACGGAGUAAAAGGCAUGAACGAGACCAAGUAAAAGAAGUCGAUCAAGAUUAAGAGCGGUCGAUCAAGUACGAAAUGUGCCAGAAGAAUGAGAUAAUAACCAUAUACGGAGUAAAAGGCAUGAAUGAGACCAAGUAAAAGAAAAGAAGGCGAUCAAGAUUAAAUUAAGGGUAUAAAGAUUGAAAAAUAAUCCUAGAGUUAAUGAAACAAAAAUUUGGGAAAUGAUUUUGGUACACCAAAAUUAAUUUUGACAUUUUCUAUACUCUUCUCAUAUGAGGGUGUGCCUAAAUCAAUUAACGAUGCGUCAAAAUCAAUUUCCAGAAAUUCAAUGAGAUUAAAGAGUGAAAGUGAGGUUUUCAAAAAAAAAAAAAAAAAAAGUGAAAGUGAGAAUAAAACGAUGAAAAAUUGAUGAUUAUUUUUGGAAAACGGGGCAAACCGCAAACGUACUGUGCAUGAACAGCAUGACAGAUGACUCAGAGUAUACUGAAGGUACUUGCUGAUGAAAAUUACAAUCAAAGUUAUCAAACAUUCACGAUUCACGAAAUCUAAAAAAUUCCCAGAAACCAAAAGAUGUCAAGCUCAAAGUCUUCAAACUCAAAAAAGAAGGGGGUUAAUAUGAUCAGGUUACUGAAAGGAGCAACUUGAUUCCCCUGAUGAUAACGAAGGCAAAUUGGAGCGCGUUGAGAUCAUAUAUCCUAUUUGAUAUGCUACCUUGUGGGUCUAAUAUUGAAGGCCUGUUCAGUAUGAAGUUUCUUCCGAACUGUGAAAGGUAAUAUGUAAGUGAACUAUUUCAAGUGUUGCGCUUGUUAAUAUUGUAAACAUCUACAUUAAAUUACACCAAUUACUCUGGGAGAGGAGUGAAGCGCAUGCACACAUCCUUACCUCUGCGAUAACAUCAACAUGCUCUUCGCAACCCUAAAUUUAAAAGUAAAUAU